CGUGUUUGGCUUGAGGUUUCUAAACCUAAAAAGAUCCCUGACUGGAGCUGUCCCCCGCCUCCUGACAGGCAGCUGCAGGUGGGCUGCUCGGACACAAACUGCAGCUUAGGUACACGGUCCUUGGAGUCUCCCUGUAGCCUUUUGGAAAGGGAAGGAGCACUUACUAAAUUCACUGCGAAGUGACAGAGAGCCUUUCCUUGGCCAGGUUGGACAGGUGCUUCUGCCCUCUUUUCAACUAGUUCUCAACCUUGGCCUCUAAAGACUUAGGCACUAAGAUGGUUUUGAACAUCACGUCGGCGUCGCUAGGAUGACUCCAGCUCCACUUAGAAUGCCUGCCUGACAAAGCUCAAGGUGCCGGGAGAAUCUAGCCACCGCCAGAAGAGAGUCUCUGCUCCUCAGUGUCUCUAGGAGAAGAGGAGCAUAACUUCCAGAAACUCUGCUUAGUGUCCCCAGGGAGUUCCCAGGCCAGCGAUGGAACCCACGUCACAGCAGGGACAGUGCUGUGUCCUUAGUCUACUGAGCCCCAGAGGGACUCCUGUAGAGAAGUGUUUUCAUAGUCAGUGGACUGACUACCCAGAUGUGGAGUGGGGAACACAGACCUGGUUCCUGUCUUCAAGCAACUCAGGAUCUAAUCUGCAGACAAGACAUGGAUCCAUCCAAAAGCAACGCACGACGAUGUUGUGGAGGCCGGUGGGAGUGAGAAGACCGAGGAGGAGGCCCAGGCUGUGACCAAGGAGGAGGAGGCGGGCCCGGCCCCUGAGAAGGGGGCAGAGGAGGCCGCAGCCGUUGGCGAGGCAGAGGAGGAGGCGGGCCCAGGCAGUGACAAUGACAAGACGUCCCCAGCCAGGGCUGGGGCUGAGCAGGAAGAUGAAUCUGCCCCCAAGGUGGACGGGACGGACGGUGAAAGCUCGUGGAGCACUGUGAGUCUGUGUGGCAGCGUCCACGAUGAAGAUGACACAGACUCGGUGGUGGAGAGCAGCAACAGCCACCAGGACGAGGAGGCUGCAGCAACGCACGACGAUGUUGUGGAGGCCGGUGGGAGUGAGAAGACCGAGGAGGAGGCCCAGGCUGUGACCAAGGAGGAGGAGGCGGGCCCGGCCCCUGAGAAGGGGGCAGAGGAGGCCGCAGCCGUUGGCGAGGCAGAGGAGGAGGCGGGCCCAGGCAGUGACAAUGACAAGACGUCCCCAGCCAGGGCUGGGGCUGAGCAGGAAGAUGAAUCUGCCCCCAAGGUAAGCUCACCUUUCUUGAUGUGAGGUUGGAAAAGUCGCCUCCUUUUUUUUUGAUAUUCCUACCUGAGAAAAUGAAAAUCUGAGGAAGUCCAUUGUUUA
rnacentral:lncRNA from 1 species